CGGAUCUAAGUUAUUGAAAAAUAAAGACUAAAGUUCUUUGGUCUUGCAUGGGGUGCAAGGGGUCGCGAGUUCGAAUCCCGCCGUCCCGACCA
rnacentral:tRNA from 1 species